CACCAGAGAUCUGAGCAAGGGUGACAAAGCGGCCUCUGGAAAUGAAAUCAGUUUGGGGCACCUCUCUAAUUUCAACUCUUGGAGAGAUAUGAGACUUUGCAAUCCGUUUGGCAGCUCCUCCAGGUUAGCACAGUCUUGUAUUUUCAAAAUUUUAAGUUUGCAAGGUAGCAUUUGCUCCUCCAACGUUACAAGCCAGUGACACCGUCCAAUAGCUAAUGUUUCAAGACAACUACCAACCCCACUUCUGAACACCACCCCUUCACAUUCUUCUAAACUUAAUUCACCAAGAGAUGCAAAUCCUGAAAAGGGAACUUUCAAAUUUGGACACCCAAAGAUAUCAAGUUUAACCAGAGAAGGUAGGCAAUCAGGCAACUGUAUACCUAGCUUUGAGCAUCUCCUUAUUGUAAGUUCUCGAAGGAAUGGAAAUGGUCCCACUUGUUCAUCUGCAUCUGGAAAAAACCAAUCUUUCCAUGUUGGCAUAUUUUCAAACUUCAGAAACUCCAAGGAUGGAAAAGACUUGACAAUCCCUCCAUAAAAGUCCUCAUCUAUGGUUCUAACUUCACUCAUCCCUUCGAUAUGCAAGUUUUUGAGUAAGGAUAAUUGGCCGAGAGCCGGUAACGAUGUGCAUAUCUUGCAAUUCUUGAGAACCAAGUGUGUCAUUAAAGGGAAUGAGGGAUUCUUUAUCCAACUUGGAAAGUUUGGUCCACCAUAGAAUGCAAUGGUGAGCUUUUCCAGAUUUCUAUGAGGUUGUAGCCACUCUAAAACAAGCCUCUCAUUCAUUUUAUUUCUUGAUUCACCAAAAUCACUGCUCCAUUUCAGUGUUAACUCUUUGAUGUUCUGCUUCUUCUGUAAAUUAACACUCCUUGCAUCUUGAAUAUCUACCACAUUAUGCAACCCUGAAAUAGAAAGCUUUCCUUGGAGACCCAGCAAAUUCUUUAAUUCUUUGACACCCGACCUGCUACCUUUGCCCACAAUAAAGUCGGAUAAUGUUUGCAAAUUGGUUAAGUUUCCCAUUUGAGGGGGCAUCUCCUGUAGUUGAACUGCACCAGAAAUAUCAACAUGUCGAAGGUUGAUGAGGCCUCCAAUUCCCAUAGGCAACUCAACAAGUCUAUAGCAAUUGCGUAAUAUCAGUGUUUGCAAAUUAUAAAGAUGACCCACUGAAUCGGGUAACCUAUUCAUCAAAGAAUCAGAUAAAUUCAAAUAGCGCAGAUGUUUCAAACCGCCUAUGGAAUUUGGUAACAUCUCACUUAUGAAAUAACCGCUUAAUGACAAUACCCGCAAACAUUUCAUUUCUUUUAAAAGGUCAUCUAGCACCUUACUUGAAAUGAAAUAUGUAGAAAAUGUAGUGAGUGGCAAAGCAACUAACGUCCGCAAACACUUAGCCUUAUGAAACGCUUCGAAUUUUCUCAUCAUCUCGUAACGUUGACGAUUGAAUGACAAAUGACGAGCCUUCUCUGAAACAGCCGUGGAUUGCUUAUUAUUCUCUAACUCAUCAUCAAAAUUAUAGCAUAUGUCUCCGGAAAUAGAUUGAGCUAGAUCGUUAAUAAGAUCAUGCAUUAAAAAUUGGGAUGAAUUUUGAGUUGACUGUUGAAAAAAUGACCUUGAGAAUAAAUCAUCAAAGUACUCACAACCUAACUUCUCAGGCUGGUUGUCUCCCUUUGUUUGUUGCAGAAAACCUUCUGCCAUCCAUAAUAGGAUUAAUUCAUCUUUGUGGAAUUCAUAGUCUUUUGGAAAUAUCGAGCAAUAAGCAAAACACCGCUUCAAAUGAGAAGGAAGAUGAUGGUAGCUUAGCUUGAGAGCCGGAAGAAUAUGACUUUUCUCCUCCGGGAGAUCCCAUAUCUUGCUUGUUAAUAUAUCUUCCCAUGCUCUGCGAUUUAGUUGAUUGCGCAACAUGCCACCAAGCGCCUUUGCUGCCAAAGGCAAGCCUUUGCACCUUCUGACUAUCUCCUCUCCAACUUCUUUCAGGUGUGGAUAAGCAUCAAAGUUUCUUGCCCCUAAUGCUUGUCGGGUGAAUAAAGAUAGACAAUCAUCAUAUGAUAACUCCUGAAGGGGAUAAGCUGAACAAGUU
rnacentral:lncRNA from 1 species